rnacentral:rRNA from 1 species
GACGGAGGGAGCAAGCGUUGUCCGGAUUUACUGGGCGUAAAGCGCGCGUAGGCGGCCUAUUAAGUCGGUUGUGAAAUCGCUGGGCCUAACUCAGCAACUGCAGUCGAUACUGAUGGGCUCGAGUCCGGGAGAGGGAAGCGGAAUUCCUGGUGUAGCGGUGGAAUGCGUAGAUAUCAGGAAGAACACCGGUGGCGAAGGCGGCUUCCUGGACCGGUACUGACGCUGAGGCGCGAAAGCUAGGGGAGCGAACGGG